rnacentral:rRNA from 1 species
GCAGUCGAACGGUAACAGGGAGCUUGCUCCGCUGACGAGUGGCGAACGGGUGAGUAAUAUAUCGGAACGUACCCAAGGGUGGGGGAUAACGUAGCGGAAGUUACGCUAAUACCGCAUACGAUCUAUGGAUGAAAGCAGGGGACCGCAAGGCCUUGUGCUCCUGGAGCGGCCGAUAUCUGAUUAGCUAGUUGGUAGGGUAAAGGCCUACCAAGGCAUCGAUCAGUAGCUGGUCUGAGAGGACGACCAGCCACACUGGAACUGAGACACGGUCCAGACUCCUACGGGAGGCAGCAGUGGGGAAUUUUGGACAAUGGGGGCAACCCUGAUCCAGCAAUGCCGCGUGAGUGAAGAAGGCCUUCGGGUUGUAAAGCUCUUUUGUCAGGGAAGAAACGGUUUUGGCUAAUAUCCAGAGCUAAUGACGGUACCUGAAGAAUAAGCACCGGCUAACUACGUGCCAGCAGCCGCGGUAAUACGUAGGGUGCAAGCGUUAAUCGGAAUUACUGGGCGUAGAGCGUGCGCAGGCGGUUUUGUAAGUCUGUCGUGAAAUCCCCGGGCUCAACCUGGGAAUGGCGAUGGAGACUGCAAGGCUGGAAUCUGGCAGAGGGGGGUAGAAUUCCACGUGUAGCAGUGAAAUGCGUAGAGACGUGGAGGAACGCCGAUGGCGAAGGCAGCCCCCUGGGUCAAGAUUGACGCUCAUG